AUACACUAGAUAGUGCAUCUAGUUAUUCUGCAAUUCAAAAAUUGAAGCCGUGAUUGCAGUCUCAGGUCGUUCCCAUGAAAUGAGAAGAUUCGUAUAUUUUCUAUUUCUUAAACAGGCAACUUAAACAUAAAGUAAAACCUAUUCCAAAUACAUUUUUAAACUAUUCAAAUGAUGAAAGUUAUUGUUGUUUUUAAGCGUUUAUUAGCAAGUGGGAACGACCAACAUGGCCGCCAUCUAUUCAAAUGAGGGUAACCGCUGGAAUAUUCUUGGCUUCAGUUUUACUAAUAGAGAUGCGCUAUCUAGUGUAUAUAAGAUAUCUAUGCCCCGGACAUGUGACCAACUGAUUUAGGCUGGUCAAAUAUCCUGAAUCGUGCUACAAUUUUAAAAAAUAUGAAAAAAUUUACUUUGUCCAUUGUCCGAGAAAAACUGAUAUAAAUGUUUAUUCAAUUUUUGUCUUGGCCGGACAUUUGUCGUUCCUAGCCAUUAGCCAAAUAAUUAUUUGCAGGUCUGGAGUAGUCGGACUUUAAUAGUAUAAUGUUUAAAUAUAAUGUUCAAAACACGAAUCGGCAGAAUUAUAUAUAAUGUUAUAAUGAUUACUUGUUAAGGUUGAGCAAUACUGAGUAGAUCCAAAAUUAGACGAUCAUUCACAACUAUUUUAAAACCAUGAUCAAGACGACAGGCGUUUAACAAUGCCAGCGUGGAAAAUCAUGGAAAAUACAUAAUUAUUCUACUAAUUGAUAUAGGUGUAGAUUUGGCUUUUUUUCAAUUUUUUCCGACUGCUUGAAUGUGAAAUUUUUCACGAAUUAAGGUCCAUACAGACCGAACGCGAUUCGACAACGCGACGCGAAUUUUCAGUUUUUAAAAACAAAUAAAACCGUCAACGGAUAAAAAUUUUACAAGAUAUGCAGACCAAGUAUACCUAAAAUUGCUUAAGUGGUUCCGAAUAUUUGAAAAACAUAGAAAAAUAUUGAACUUAAAUGUCAUUGAAAAUUGACAAAUCGUUGCGUUGCCAAAUUGCGUCUGGUAUGGACUUUAAUCCGUAAAAAAUAAACUAAACAAAGUUAUGACUUAGUAAUUUUAGUCCAAAAACCAUGACCAGCCGACAAUUUAAAAAAAUAAAGUACAAAACAAAUUCCGAAAAUACAGGACAUCUUGAGAAUUCAAUAUAUAAUUCAAAACAAGGAUAAUCCUUCUUUCCGCCCACAUGACAG